UACGUAGGGCGCAAGCGUUGUCCGGAAUUAUUGGGCGUAAAGAGCUCGUAGGCGGUUUGUCGCGUCUGCUGUGAAAACUCGAGGCUCAACCUCCAACCUGCAGUGGGUACGGGCAGACUAGAGUGUGGUAGGGGAGACUGGAAUUCCUGGUGUAGCGGUGGAAUGCGCAGAUAUCAGGAGGAACACCGAUGGCGAAGGCAGGUCUCUGGGCCACAACUGACGCUGAGGAGCGAAAGCGUGGGGAGCGAACAGG
rnacentral:rRNA from 1 species